GACCAUGGCUUUGCAGAGCACUCUGGAAGCAGUGUGGCUGGGGGUCCUCCUCAGCUCUCCCUGGAAGGUUGCAGAAGGCAAGGACCAAGUGUUUCAGCCUUCCACCGUCUCUGCUUCGGAGGGCUCUGUGGUGGAAAUCUCCUGCAAUCACUCUAUAUCCACUGCUUACGACUUCUUCUGGUACCUUCACUUCCCAGGAAGGGCUCCAAGACUCCUGAUUAAGGGCUCAGGGCCUUCUCAGCAGGGACGCUACAACAUGACAUAUGAGCGAUUCUCGUCUUCGCUGCUCAUCCUCCAAGUGCGGGUGGCAGAUGCCGCCAUUUACUACUGUGCUCUGGAGGGCACAGAGGCACUGAGCCUAUGA